UUUGCCGUCAAGUCGUCAAACACGUCAUCCUCUGCUCAAACCCCACCUCACCAGCUCGCUCCCGACUUCAGCUGAAAGUCAUCGUCGUUCCGCGCGUCAGCAAGAAAUCCCAAGAAUCGGGUGAAGACGAAGCUAGCAGCGCGAUAUUCCCCAAGCGCUCGACAAAUUGCCUGGAUCAGAAAAUCGCUACCGAUCUCGCGGAUUCGUGUCAGCUGUGGAAAUGGUAAGCUGAUAAAUUAUCCAGAAUAGUUCGAUCAAUGAAUAAAUUAAUGUGCUAGUGUGAUGCUUAUUAAGGUGCUCGAUAAAUUGCGUAAGUCACGAAACUCUCGUCGACUUCGCAGUUCUUGCGAUUAUCGAGCCAGGUUCAGUUAUAGCGAGUUAUUUCGCUAUUCCGGUCAAUUAGCUAAAUUAAUAUACCGAGUAGAAUAUUAGUAGGCAUGUGUGAUAAAGAAAUGUUUGAUUAAUUGUGGACAUGUAAAAUAUGUGAGGAGUAAAAUAAAAUUAAAAUAGUUCUUUGUGAAUGAUGUAGUGUCAUUUAUAAAAUGAGGGAUAAGUUUAGAAUUUAAUUAAUUAAUUGAUAAGUUGUGAUUAAGCUAAUUGUAUUUCAUGUGUAUAGUUUGUGGUUGGUGAUGUUUGCGUUAGAUUCGAGAAGCGUAAUUAUUGCGCUUAAUUGUAGAUUAUUAGUGUCUCCUUAUGAAAUUGUUCAACGUCUCACCGCUAGGUGUUUAAUUCGCUAUCGCGAGCACUAUCUAGGUUUGCGAUAUUUAUGUUUAUAUGCAUUCAUGUGCAUAAUGCAUCUCAUUCAGGUACGUGAAUUAACCACGCGAUGCGGAGAACCAGAACUGAGUCGACCACAAGAUGGUGCUGAUGAACGGAACUGGAGAUGGACAGACGAAGCAAGUAUCUGGACAAAGGAUGGUCGUCAAGUGAUCGUCGUCUAACAAACACUAACGUAGUGUUUAUUCCAGGCAAGCCCCGGUGCAUGAAACCCCUUCCUUGUGUUUUUAAAUAAUUUCUGCACACUUUAAGUCUAGUGAAAUUUGCAUUAGGUUUAUAGGAGUUGCUUGGAACCUUUUGAUGCAUUGCCUACCUUGAUAUCCAUACCUUUAUAGAUACUUCUGGUGAAGUAUCAAAAUAUGAUUUACAAAAAUGCUUAGCUCUGCUUAGAUCUUGUGGGUAGAAGUUGUCUUUCGCAAUAAGGCCUAGCUCAGGGGUUAUCCUGAGGAAAGAUAGCUUCUACAUGCAAGAAUAUUUUCAUUGGGAGCGUGGUGGAAUCUUACUGCAAAGUUCCCUAUAAUGCUCUUUUCGUCCUAAGGAAAACAAACAAUCCUAAGGAUCAAAGUACUUAAAUCGGGACUUGGGCUAGGAACAGGUGAUGUUCUACCCAGGUUGAUUAAGGAUUGGAUGCGUAUGUAGGCUUGAUGAUCGAGGACCCUUUAACUGGUCACAUGCCUCGUCAUGGGUAAGCUUUGUCUCAGGCAGACUAAGGCCAGAAUAAGAUAACACGGAAUGGGCGUGGAGCGGUGGCGAGAGUAGUGUGUACCCUCCGUGGCAAGAGGCUGGACGGUGGUGUAUCUGUGCUCUCGGUUGGCGUGAACCUGAUCUGGUCUUAAGAACCCCGGUGGCGGGUUGACAUAUGCAAGGGUUAAGUGCUACAUAUGUCGUGUGAUCGGAGAUCCUCAGCUAAGUAUAAUCGAUUCGGAUCGCCGUACCUUCGCGGUUAUGAAGACUUGGUCACUGCCCUACAACCUAAGUCAGGAUGUGAACCUCAUGAAUAAAAAUGAUGUUGUAUUGAUGAGAUGGUGAAAUUAGACCAGAUGCAAACAGAGUCUAUUGAUAUUUAAUCUGGCGUUAAAAUAUUGAAAGUAAGGACUCACUUUAGUAAGCUAUUUCUGCAAAAGUAUCUAAGUUGAUUCUUGCUAAAGCCUCUCCUUGAUUCCCAAAUCCAGCAUAUCCUUGAGAGUCUUUUCUUUAGUCGGGUAAGUCUUGCUGAGUAAUUCCAUACUCAGGGUUUUAUUCCCUGUUGUUUUUCAGGUUUUAACUUUGUGCUGUUGUUGAUGGUGUUAAGUGCCGGUGGGCUCGACCUUCUUAUAAGUCUAAGUAACUCUUCUAUACUUCUUAUUGAGGAUGGUCACUUGAGCUAGCAUAUAUUUCAAACUUAUACUUUUGUAAUCACUCCGAUAAAAUAAUAUAAAACUUUUGUAACCUGUAAAAUUUGGUAACAAGAUUUCCGCUGCAAAAAUGUUGGUGUGUGUGAUUUGUGUUACUUAAUCUUGCGGUCCUGGUUGUAAGUGGUUUAUCCGAUGUCCUUGGGCAAUCGGACGGAUCCUAUUAAGUUAUCUGGUGCACAUGCAUAGCCGUCUGAGGUCUUUGAGACAAGGACAGGUGCAUGUGGGCCCAAUAACUUGGGAGGUUCUGCCACAGCUGGUAUCGGAGCAGGAUUAAGUAUAUACAGUCACAUACGUAUUUUCAAAACAAAAGUUUUGGUUUUAGAAAACCUAUUUUCAAUUAAACACAUUGUUUGGCUUUGAAAAACAAUUUUGAAAAAAAAACUAUAAUGCUAGCGACAUCCUUUGUUAAGCCCUAAACUAAGGACUAUCAGGUGGCUUUGUUGAAAACCACUAACCCAUAACCGGGGGUAUUGCAUACAUGUGUAUUAUUAUUUUUAAGGCCAUUCAGUUCUGAAUGGAUCGACGCUCAGGUAAGGUGAGAUGUGAGAGCAUGACCGAAGAAUCGUCGGUCUAGGGAAGAGUGUAAAAGCGCUUGAUUAUAUACAUGUUCUAUAUAUGUAUAUAUGAAAGCUGCGAUGUGGAGUAUUUACUUUUCCGGGAAUUCAGUACCCCAUGGAUGUGUAUGGGUAUACAGACAUGGGAAUACUGAGAAAUGUAUUGUACAUGUAACGACGCACCUACGCUUAGGUAAGAAGGUGAGUUACCAUAAUGAGUUGCCCUAUGGUUAAAGUGUGGCAACGGCGCCUAUGCGUAGCUCGGCGCUUAAUGAUGAGCUGGCCUCCAUAUAGCAAUAUAUGGAGUAUAAACUGUGAUAAACUGUCAUGUGUGAAUUGCAUCAUUGGGAAAUUGGGCUGUGAUGGAUUUUCUGCAGGUACACUAACCUCGAAAACGUAUGUGUAGCCGACGACUAGCAAAAUACCGUGAGAGUCGUAAGUAUGCCACCGAGAUAGAAUGCUAUUGCCAUAUUAAAUUGGCAAAAAAAUUGUGAGGACGUAUAGGACGAGCAUGCAUCCUGAAUGUUGCAUCAUGUUUGUCACCUAUACACCCAAAAUGCUUCUCUCAUCCUUAUUCCAGUAACCAUUGAUUGUAAAUAAUGUGGCGUAAUGCUGUAUUAUGGACUCAAAAAAAGUAAGAUGUCCUCCAUUCUUUAGGUAACCUGUUAAGGUCGUAUAUGGUGUUUGCUCUUGUACUUGAUGUGCCGAUAGAAAGUUAGAGACUUGUUUGCCUAAACCCAAAACUAGGCCAUGUUCUUAUUUAGUGAACCAUAACCCAAAAUUGAUUUUUUCGUCAUCACUCCAUGACCCAACUCAUGCAAAUAAAUGCUUAGAUAACUUCGUUUGGACAUAAAGUGUACCCAGACUUAAAACAAGAAUCUCGAGUCAUAUCUCCUUCCAAAACCAUUCCCUUGUUCGGUUGGUGCAAGUUGUUAUCUCUAUUCUAUUUUGUCUCUCCUGGAGAAUUGCAUUGUUGAUUUUAUCAACCCAACCUAGGAAAGACAUGUCCGAUUAUUUUCUUGAGUUUGAUGCCUUUGGUUUCCUCAUAUCUAUCGAAGGCAUACCAACUUCAUCUCGUGAUUGUUUUCCCUCCGUGUCUAAUCAGAUACUAAUCCUUGGCCUUGUAAUCUCUGCGAUGGGCAUAGAAAUAUGCUUGGGGCUGAAUUAACAGUCUCCCAUCGUACUCCUUUCAUCAAGUUUACGUUAUGGCCAUGUUUUGUUCAUUUCAUCAGGCCAUAAUCUAUUUGGCUCUCUACUUGUAACCAUUUUGACAGGUAGAGUCUCUUGUAUAUUGUCACCCUUGCUCAAUCCAGUUGUGUGAUACGAGAUUUCUUAUUGGUUACGUCUGGUAAUGGUGUUAUGACUAAAGCCGAUGAUGCCACGACGAAACCGAGGGCCUCCUGUGAAUGUACACACAUGGUUGCGCUACUUGGCACGCGCUGGUAUCACAGUUAGUAGUCAUAAUCCAUUAUGAGACUAUAUCAAUGUGUUAUCUUAGCACAAUCUGUUUUUGCUACGUGAGAUUCAUUUUUGGUGCCAGUUCGGUGAUGGUGUCAUGAUUAAGGACUUAUGGUGCCGCAGCGAAACUGAGAGCCCUUAUGAAUGUACACGCAAGGUUAUGCUGCUUGGUGCAUGCUGGUAUCGAUGUCUCUAGUCAUGAUCCGUUAUGGAACUACACUGAUGUGUGAUCUUCCGUAAACAUUUCCCUUGAAAUAAUUUCUAUGUUGUUUGUCAAUUGACCAAGCAACAUCUAUCAUCUCCGUUGGAUCAAAAGGGCAUACCACUUUCAUAUGUGGUCUCUUUUCUUUUGAUCUUGGUGGUGACUACUCAUACAAGUUCCUUUUACGUCCUUUGUGUAAAGGUGCAGCCUUGGAGCUCUUUAGUGUUGGAAAACAGCUGAUUAGCUCUCAAAAUGGAGAUUAGUUUUUCCCUACUGCUGAGAUGCAGGAGUUUGUUCAUUCGCUCUUUUAUUUAAUCCAUGUAUUCCCAAACCUAGUCCAUUCAUCUCGCACGAAGAAACGGGUGAACAACCUGACCAAAUGGACUUCUAUUCAAAUACAUGAUCUCUUGUUAACCAGAGUGAACUCUCGACCAUUGGACUGCCGGUGGUACUGAGAGGACUUGCUCGAUGUCAAAAGUAGUUCAACAAGUUGGCUUUACUAACUUGUAACUGCCCAAUGAACAAAGGUUGAGUUCAGAGAUCGUUUUAUCGAGUUGUCUAAACUCACUUUUGUACAACCCCUCUAAAGGAAGUUCUUACAAAGAUCAAGUUAAAACCGACUGAUAAUCACCUAAUCAUCGCUCUAGUCGUGCCUUGAUCUCCCCACGUGUGCUUUUCCAACAUGUGUGAUCGAGUCGAGCCAUGAAUAGUGCUGAAUAAAAUGGACUGAUUGCGAAGUCAACAUCAACGGAUCUUUUCGUUGAUAUUUUCCGAGUCUAUCAUUUUUCGUGGACUUGGAUUCUCUAGCUAGCCACGGGUCAACUGUGAUGUUAUUUGACAUUCACACCCGUCUCGUGUGCUAUGAACUUACUGUAACCACUUGUUGGUAAACCUCUUUCUGUGUGUUUUACCCAAGAUGGUGCAUCUGAUUCUGUUUGGGUAAAGUCGCAUAUCUACCGCUCGCUCAACAGACUCAAUUAGUACAGUGUCAUCAGAAACCGCAAACUGCACACAUGGGACCUUAUGUGUUCCUCUGGCAGACAGUGUCUCUAUUGGUGGAUAUCUCUAAAUUAGCUUAAGGCGAUACAUGUUAUGUCCACUAGAGAAACAACAUUCUGAGACACUCGUCUUCGCUUGAGACUGCCUUAUGAUUACCGCUGAUAUAAACAUGAGUUACAUACUUCUCUACUCUUAGAAGUCUUUCGUUUCGAAUCUCGGGAUGAGAUUCUUUUAAGGGGGGAGGGCUGUAACACCCCUGGUGUUUAUAUUCUGCUCGACAACGAGUAUGGAAUUAAGCACGUAAUCAGUGGAUAAAACGGAUGUUAAAUUUUAAACAUCUUCGUUUAUCGCGAUUUCAAUAUCGCAUUUGUUCCAUCUGUCGCGAGUGCGAGUCGUUUUUAUUUUCAUCUGUCCGGGCUCUUCCUAAAUUUUCGUGCUGUUCGGAACAUAUUUGUUCUAAAAAUUGGUGCGUCCGAUGAUUUUUUAAAAAAUUCAUCGCUCGCGUGAGUACGACUUCGGAAGCCCAAACCACUUGGACGAUUUUAUCCCGAGCCAAUUAAAUAGAACUCGUCGACUAAGAUUCUCGGUACGAAUAAUUAUGUCCCCACUCGUCAAUCGAUAAAAAUCGCGUCCGAGAAUGUAUAAUUGAGAUCUGAUUAUCACACAAAUUGCCCGUAACUAUGGAAUUAGAUUCUCUAUUUCGUAACUAGGAAAAGUGAAAUGCGUGGUCGAAAUGUGUUUUGGGACCUCUUAUUUAAUCUUUUUGAACUUUAAUCCUAAGAAACGAGAUAUUUUUGGUUUUUUUUAAAAAAAUCUUCUUUUCCUUAUCCUUGCGCCACUUCCUUCAGUCUAGGAUUUUUCCUGCCUUCGUUCUCAUCCGCGCGGGUGGGAAGGGAACAACAUUUGCCGUCGUUCUGGGAGAAAAUCCCACCGCCCCUCUCUCUGAUCCUUAUCUCUCUGCGCACGCAGGCUACUUAUCCCCAAUCAUCUUCUCCUUCCCUGCAGCGGCGUGGUCCUCUGCUCCUCCCCAGCGUCCCUCGCCGAGCACCCUCUGCCCCGGCUCCUCCUUCCUGGCCGCGCGUCCUGUGCCUGCUCGUGCCCAGCCUAUGCUUCCUCUCUACCGCCGCUCGCAAGGCUCCCUCCCUCAGCUUGCCGGUCGUGAGUCCCUGGUGCCGUGCGCGCGCGUCCCUGGGCCCAGUUUGGUGCUCACCCCGCCAUGGAGCUCGCGCUGACCGCGCCCUCUCCAGCCAUGGCGCGCUCGACCGGAGCUCUGCUCCCCUAGCUCCUCUGCGCGCGCCGUCUUCCAGCCGCCCUCGCCCCACCUCUCUCCUCUGCCGUCGUCUAGCUCGGACCCGCCCCCAGCCGCGAACACCCAUGGCGCCCAAGCCCAGCUUCUUUCUCCCUCAGCUCCCAUGGUGCUCUCUGUCUCCUGCUCGCUCUCUGGUGCUGCGUGUCUUCUCUGCUCGUCGGUGCUCGCCGCGGGAGACGGCGCUCGGUCGCCCAACCUUCCUGCUCCUCCCUGCUGUCGUGUCCCUCGGCGCCGGUCGCUUCUUCUUGCUAUUCCAUGCCGCGGCAAUCGCCCUGCUGCUCCAGUGCGCCCAGCCAAGCGAUUCUCUGCUCUGCGCGCGGUAUUUCUCCAGCAUGCCGCGCCCAGUCCCUGCUCCUUGUUUUUCUCUGCGACAUGGAGUCUCCUCGCCGCGCGGAUCCUCUCCUUCCUACCCUGCUCGGAUUGUGCCACGCUUGCUGUCGCGUUCGGCCUGCUUCGGAUCCGAAGUUGGUCGCCUCGGUGUGAAAUCGCCAUCGCGUCCGGGGUUUUGACAUGUCUCCUUGCUCGCCGUCGAACUUGAGUUCCCUGCUCAGCCUUUAGCGCUGGCGCGUCGCCGUGAUGUUACCGUCUCACCGUGAUUCCCUGAUGGUCCGUGUUUCCGCAUGUUCAAAUCGUCAAUCCCGUGUACCACCUGCUCGCUAAAUAGGAAACCAACAGUCUUCUCCCUGCUCCUCUGCACGUAGCCGCGUUCCUCUACCGGCCAUCAGUUGCCGCUGAACCACUGUCGGAUUAAUUUUCAGCUUCCUUCGCGCGGCUCUCUGGAGAUAAGCUCUUCAUCGGCUGUCGCUCCCAAUCUUCAGUUCGCCGACUGACUGUCGUGUUCCUUAUUUUCCCUCGUCGGUCGACCUCGUCGCGACUUAGUUCGUUCAUCAUGCUGGUCGCUAUCCCAUAAUGUACCUAUUAGCUCGAAUCCAGUCCAGCUCGUCGUCGCGUCGUUUGCCGUCGAGUCGUCAAACACGUCAUCCUCUGCUCAAACCCCACCUCACCAGCUCGCUCCCGACUUCAGCUGAAAGUCAUCAUCGUUCCGCGCGUCAGCGAGAAAUCCCAAGAAUCGGGUGAAGACGAAGCUAGCAGCGCGAUAUUCCCCAAGCGCUCGACAAAUUGCCUGGAUCGGAAAAUCGCUAUCGAUCUCGCGGAUUCGUGUCAGCUGUGGAAAUGGUAAGCUGAUAAAUUAUUCAGAAUAGUUCGAUCAAUGAAUAAAUUAAUGUGCUAGUGUGAUGCUUAUUAAGGUGCUCGAUAAAUUGCGUAAGUCACGAAACUCUCGUCGACUUGGCAGUUCUUGCGAUUAUCGAGCCAGGUUCAGUUAUAGCGAGUUAUUUCGCUAUUCCGGUCAAUUAGCUGAAUUAAUAUACCGAGUAGAAUAUUAGUAGGCAUGUGUGAUAAAGAAAUGUUUGAUUAAUUGUGGACAUGUAAAAUAUGUGAGGAGUAAAAUAAAAUUAAAAUAGUUCUUUGUGAACGAUGUAG
rnacentral:lncRNA from 1 species